CGUUGAAAUACCGUUUCUCGUACGAUCACCGAAGUUAAGCAACAUCGAGGCUAGGUCAAUACCUGGAAGGGUGACCUCUUGGAAAUAACUGGUGCUGUAAG